AGUCUUUUAGUUUAAUAUAAAAUUUUAAAUUGCAAGUUUAACGAUACUGGUUAGGUCAAGACUU
rnacentral:tRNA from 1 species